rnacentral:tRNA from 1 species
UCCCUGGUGGUGCAGUGGCUAAGACUCUGUACUCCCAAUGCAGGAGACCCAGGCUCAAUCCCUGGUCAGGGAA